UAGUGCAAACAGUUAACACACUUGGAUGCUAACUAAGAUGUUGGUGGUUCAAGUCCACC
rnacentral:tRNA from 1 species